CUUACACCACCACUAUCCCCAACCCUAACCCUAAGGAAACCCUUGGCUAAUAUAAAUUCUGAUAUUAGAGAAUGGGUUUCCUAUUCAACACAGUAAGAUAGUGGUCUGUUACCACCAUCUACUGGCUGUUUUCAUAAUUACAUUUACUGUAAUUAUGAAUGGAAAUUGCUUUUCAGCCAAUUACACUGUGACUGAUGCUGGAGAGCUGGCAAAGCACAGCACUGGUCACAAUCAGCUGUGGACAGGCAGUAAGACCUUGCCGGGGGUGUCAUUCAAAUGGCGAUUGAUCAACCAUGGCUUUAUGAAUGAACUGAAGGGCUCUAUGAAACGUUAAUUUACAGCAAUGCAAGCAGCGAGGGCCGCCAUCAGGGCAUGACAACCGCAACGGUUGUCAUGGGCCCGGCGGUCCUGGGGGACCCGGACUGCUCAGGUCGUCCGGGCCCCAGAUUCAGUGGGUACAUACCGGAUCGCAGGGGGCCCUGCGACCCCGGUAUGUACCCACAGGGCCAGCCUCUUCUCCUGGGGGGGCCCAGCAGCCGGUCACCUCAGGGCCCCCCAGAGGCUGGCCCUG